GACGAACGCUGGCGGCGUGCUUAACACAUGCAAGUCGAACGGAAAGGCCCUGCUUUUGUGGGGUGCUCGAGUGGCGAACGGGUGAGUAACACGUGAGUAACCUGCCCUUGACUUUGGGAUAACUUCAGGAAACUGGGGCUAAUACCGGAUAGGAGCUCCUGCUGCAUGGUGGGGGUUGGAAAGUUUCGGCGGUUGGGGAUGGACUCGCGGCUUAUCAGCUUGUUGGUGGGGUAGUGGCUUACCAAGGCUUUGACGGGUAGCCGGCCUGAGAGGGUGACCGGCCACAUUGGGACUGAGAUACGGCGCAGACUCCUACGGGAGGCAGCAGGGGGGAAUAUGGCACAAUGGGCGGAAGCCUGAUGCAGCAACGCCGCGUGCGGGAUGACGGCCUUCGGGUUGUAAACCGCUUUCGCCUGUGACGAAGCGUGAGUGACGGUAAUGGGUAAAGAAGCACCGGCUAACUACGUG
rnacentral:rRNA from 1 species